GGCACAUUUUGUGAACGGAAGCGCAGGUGUCCUAAGGUGAGCUCAAUGAGGUUGACUAACAGUGGAGAAGCUUGCUUGAUUCUGUACCUCCAGCACAGGUGCAACAAUCACUUUUCGUGCCAACAAUCCUUGGUAUUUCGAGCCUGUGAGAUUCUUGUGUGUGUGCAGGAGAUGC
rnacentral:rRNA from 1 species